AGUGAACGCUGGCGGUAGGCCUAACACAUGCAAGUCGAACGGCAGCACAGUAAGAGCUUGCUCUUACGGGUGGCGAGUGGCGGACGGGUGAGGAAUACAUCGGAAUCUACUUUUUCGUGGGGGCUAACGUAGGGAAACUUACGCUAAUACCGCAUACGACCUACGGGUGAAAGCCGGGGAUCUUCGGACCUUGCGCGAUUGAAUGAGCCGAUGUCGGCUUAGCUAGUUGGCGGGGUAAAGGCCCACCACGGCGACGAUCCGUAGCUGGUCUGAGAGGAUGAUCCGCCACACUGGAACUGAGACACGGUCCAGACUCCUACGCGAGGCAGCAGUGGGGACUAUUGGACAAUGGGCGCAAGCCUGAUCCAGCCAUACCGCGUGGGUGAAGAAGGCCUUCUGGUUGUAAAGCCCUUUUGUCGGGAAAGAAAAGCAGCAGGUUAAUACCCCGCUGUUAUGACGGUACCCAAAGAAUAAGCACCGGCUAACUUCGUG
rnacentral:rRNA from 1 species